rnacentral:rRNA from 1 species
AGUGAACGCUGGCGGUAGGCCUAACACAUGCAAGUCGAACGGCAGCACAGUAAGAGCUUGCUCUUACGGGUGGCGAGUGGCGGACGGGUGAGGAAUACAUCGGAAUCUACUUUUUCGUGGGGGAUAACGUAGGGAAACUUACGCUAAUACCGCAUACGACCUACGGGUGAAAGCAGGGGAUCUUCGGACCUUGCGCGAUUGAAUGAGCCGAUGUCGGAUUAGCUAGUUGGCGGGGUAAAGGCCCACCAAGGCGACGCUCCGUAGCUGGUCUGAGAGGAUGAUCAGCCACACUGGAACUGGGACACGGUCCAGACUCCUACGGGAGGCAGCAGUGGGGAAUAUUGGACAAUGGGGCCAAACCUGAUCCAGCCAUACCGCGUGGGUGAAGAAGGCCUUCGGGUUGUAAAGCCCUUUUGUUGGGAAAGAAAAGCAGCAGGUUAAUACCCCGCUGUUCUGACGGUACCCAAAGAAUAAGCACCGGCUAACUUCGUG